UACAGAGGUCUCAAGCGUUGUUCGGAUUCAUUGGGCGUAAAGGGUGCGUAGGCGGCGCGGUAAGUCGGGUGUGAAAUCUCGGAGCUUAACUCCGAAACUGCAUUCGAUACUGCCGUGCUUGAGGACUGGAGAGGAGACUGGAAUUUACGGUGUAGCGGUGAAAUGCGUAGAUAUCGUAAGGAAGACCAGUGGCGAAGGCGGGUCUCUGAGCCGAUACUGACGCUGAGGAGCGAAAGCGUGGGGAGCGAACAGG
rnacentral:rRNA from 1 species